rnacentral:rRNA from 1 species
GUUAUAUAUACCUAGAAAGGUAGCAUAAUCAUUAGUUUUUUAAUUGAGAACUUGUAUGAAUGGUUGGACAAAGGAAAAGCUGUCUGUGUUUUAUAAAUAUUGAAUUUAACUUUUAAGUGAAAAGGCUUAAAUAAUUUAAAAAGACGAUAAGACCCUAUAAAACAUUUUAUUGGGGCGAUAAAGGUAUAAGUAUUAACUGCUUUAAAUAAAAACAAUAAUAUUUGAAAUGAUCCUUUUAUAAAGAAUGAAAGACUAAGUUACUUUAGGGAUAACAGCGUAAUUUCUUUUGAGAGCCCGUAUCGAAAAAGAAGAUUGCGACCUCGAUGUUGAAUUAAAAUGUCUAUUAUAGGGCAGCUCCUAAAUAAGAAGAUCUGUUCGAUCUUUAAAUUUUU